rnacentral:ncRNA from 1 species
CAGAGUAGGGCCGGCGCGUUAAGUGUCAGUGGAUGGGAAGUUGCCGCUGAACGAAAAUGCACCCGCAUUGCGAUGCCUGCCCGCAUCCGCUGC